GAAGGUUGGAAAAGAUGAUAAACAAAGACUGCUAUUAUAAUAAAUUUCCUAGUCUCUACCCACUAAUAUCUUUUACAAUCCCAAUAUCAGGAAAAAAGGAAGAGAAAAUUCUGUAAAUAAUUAUUAUAUUCUUCUCUUAAAGUAAGCCACUGAAUUCAAAAUUCUCUAACACAUUUGUGGAAACUUCAUUUUUCUUGUUUGAGAUUUAUUUGAAUGAGCUGUUAUGAUUGGAGACAGUGAGAAUUUCAGAUUAAUGUUUUGCAGACAAAAAAAAAAAAAACCUCUCUGGAAAGCUGGCAAGUGUUCAUAAGUCAGCCCUAGAAUUAUGUAGGUUGAAGGCUCCCAGUGGACAGACCAAACAUAUAAGAAGGAAACCAGAGAUCUGGUGCUAUUACGUCCCAGCGUCUGAGAGAACAAGUAAGCACAGAAUUCAAAGCAUUCUGCAGCCUGAAUUUUUAAGGAGUACAUUUAGGCACUAAGCAAGCUGAUUUAUGAUAACUGCUUUAAACUUCAACAAGCAGUAAGUCUUCAAGUGGAAUUUAUUAUUGAUUCUUUUAUGUUAAUUUGUUAGGUCAAAGGAAAAAGCUUUAGAGAAAAAUAAAAGUUUUGCUCUUUAUUAGGAGGUUCUUUGGUUACUACAGUUUUAAUUGGGUAGUUUAUUUGUAUGUAUUUUGAAACUAUCUGAAGUAAAUAAUAUUUCCUUAGUAUGCUUAUCUUUAGCUAUUUUUUUGUUUCAAAAUAAUGUUUCUAGUGAAAAAAAUCACAAAACCUGAACACUGUAACAUUUGAGAGCAAUGGCUAUUUAGUUCUGUUAUACUGAAAAGAGAACAAAAGAAAAAUAAGAC
rnacentral:lncRNA from 1 species